AAUUGAAAAAGGCAAACUUAUCGAAAGGUAAGGACGCAAAGCCAUGGGCCUAAAGUGAUGUGUAUAUCAUAUGGUUGCCAGGUUGCCAAU
rnacentral:ncRNA from 1 species